rnacentral:lncRNA from 1 species
CUAACUACUCUGGUUCAAAAAGUGUGUUUCUUUGUGUAGCCAUCACUGCUUUCCAGCUCAUUUUCUGAUUUCUGUCCUGGCUUAAAUAUUUAAAAGAAGGAUGCAUGUUGGGAAGUCACUGCUGGAAAGCUGCAGCCUUCUUUCUUGUCUCUCAAGGACUACCAAGGUACCAGAGACCAGAACACAUGUUUUUCCUACUGCACUAAACAUUUUGAAUGUAUGCUAAAAAUGUUAAUACAUUAUUGAAGGGCCUGGAAUUUUUCCUUCAGGUGUGAUGCCUUUAGGCCAUUUCUGCUUCACACAGGAUUGCAGAUGUUGGCCGCGGCCAGGGCCAAGUCACGGGGCAGGCAGGAUGUGCUGCUUCUGCGGAGGUACAGGCAUGCGGAUAAAUGACACGGAUUUCUGCAGCUUCGCCGGGCUCUGGCAGGUGUUACUCAGAUAAAGCCCAAGCAGAGAUUAUGCAGCAGAUUUGACCACACAGAGGCUUCACAAAUGCUUGAGGUCCAGAUGCAAGUUGCACCUGAUGCAAAUGAAGGAAAGCUCUGAUGAACAGCAGAGACAGAGAGCAAACAUAUUUUUUAAACAUAUACACCUUGAAGUAAUAAUGUGAGAAGUAUCUUCUACUAAUCCAGGGAGAGAUUGUGUGUGAAUUUGCCACAGGAAAUGCAGUGAGGAGUACCCUUUCUUCCAGGUUAAUGCCAGCCUAAUGGAUGGUUGUUUGGUUUUGAUAUUUUUUCACCUGUUUAUGUACCUUGGCAUGUGCUCUGAGCCUGGAGCUGGGCUGCAUUUUCCACCUGCUAGAAGGGGUGCAUAUCCAUGUGCACAGCAAGUCAGUUCAGGGAAAUUUCAUUAAUGUUUGCUUUAGGAAACAACUUUAUUCUUCUCAGCAAUUUUUAUACAGAUCUGAGGGCCUUUUGCCAGCCCUCAUUUCCAGAUGGCUUAAAAGCCAUGUUCUGUGCUAAAUAACUGUAUUUAAUUUCUCUGUGUAAGUAUGAGACAAGAGGUCAAAGAAAGAAAUGACAUCAGUGUGAGCAACCUGCUUGGUCAGGGGGAGCUCAGAGACAUGGGCAGGGAAAGUAUCCUCUGGGAAAUGAAGAAAUGAGCAUGGGGAU